AUUGAACGCUGGCGGCAUGCCUAACACAUGCAAGUCGAGCGAACCUAGCUUGCUAGGUGAGCGGCGAACGGGUGAGUAACGCGUAGGAAUCUGCCUGGUAGUGGGGGACAACGUUCCGAAAGGAACGCUAAUACCGCAUACGCCCUACGGGGGAAAGCAGGGGAUCUUCGGACCUUGCGCUAUCAGAUGAGCCUGCGUCGGAUUAGCUAGUUGGUAGGGUAAAGGCCUACCAAGGCGACGAUCCGUAACUGGUCUGAGAGGAUGAUCAGUCACACCGGAACUGAGACACGGUCCGGACUCCUACGGGAGGCAGCAGUGGGGAAUAUUGGACAAUGGGGGCAACCCUGAUCCAGCCAUGCCGCGUGUGUGAAGAAGGCCUUCGGGUUGUAAAGCACUUUAGGUCGGGAGGAAGGUUCGCCGGCUAAUAUCCAGCGGAAUUGACGUUACCGACAGAAUAAGCACCGGCUAACUCCGUGCCAGCAGCCGCCGUAA
rnacentral:rRNA from 1 species